UUGCCAGCCCGCUCAGAAACUUAAAGGAAUUGACGGGGGCCCGCACAAGGCGGUGGAGCAUGUGGUUUAAUCGAUGAUACGCGAGGAACCUUACCUGGGCUCAAAUGUAUGUUGACGUAUUCUGAAAGGGAUACUUCUUCGGACAAUAUACAAGGUGCUGCAUGGUUGUCGUCAGCUCGUGCCGUGAGGUGUCGGGUUAAGUCCCAUAACGAGCGCAACCCCUAUCAUUAGUUGCCAUCAGGUCAAGCUGGGGACUCUAAUGAAACUGCCUACGCAAGUAGUGAGGAAGGUGGGGAUGACGUCAAAUCAGCACGGCCCUUACGUCCAGGGCUACACACGUGCUACAAUGGCCGGUACAAAGGGCAGCUACCUGGUGACAGGAUGCUAAUCUCAAAAGCCGGUCUCAGUUCGGAUCGGAGUCUGCAACCCGACUCCGUGAAGCUGGAAUCGCUAGUAAUCGCGCAUCAGCCAUGGCGCGGUGAAUACGUUCCCGGGCCUU
rnacentral:rRNA from 1 species